AGUGAACGCUGGCGGUAGGCCUAACACAUGCAAGUCGAACGGCAGCACAGGAGAGCUUGCUCUCUGGGUGGCGAGUGGCGGACGGGUGAGGAAUACAUCGGAAUCUACUCUGUCGUGGGGGAUAACGUAGGGAAACUUACGCUAAUACCGCAUACGACCUACGGGUGAAAGCAGGGGCUCUUCGGACCUUGCGCGAUUGAAUGAGCCGAUGUCGGCUUAGGUAGUUGGCGGGGUAAAGGCCCACCAAGGCGACGAUCCGUAGCUGGUCUGAGAGGAUGAUCAGCCACACUGGAACUGAGACACGGUCCAGACUCCUACGGGAGGCAGCAGUGGGGAAUAUUGGACAAUGGGCGCAAGCCUGAUCCAGCCAUACCGCGUGGGUGAAGAAGGCCUUCGGGUUGUAAAGCCCUUUUGUUGGGAAAGAAAUCCAGCUGGCUAAUACCCGGUUGGGAUGACGGUACCCAAAGAAUAAGCACCGGCUAACUUCGUGCCAGCCGCCGCCGUAA
rnacentral:rRNA from 1 species